AAAUUGAAGAGUUUGAUCAUGGCUCAGAUUGAACGCUGGCGGCAGGCCUAACACAUGCAAGUCGAACGGUAGCACAGAGAGCUUGCUCUCGGGUGACGAGUGGCGGACGGGUGAGUAAUGUCUGGGAAACUGCCUGAUGGAGGGGGAUAACUACUGGAAACGGUAGCUAAUACCGCAUAACGUCGCAAGACCAAAGAGGGGGACCUUCGGGCCUCUUGCCAUCAGAUGUGCCCAGAUGGGAUUAGCUAGUAGGUGGGGUAAUGGCUCACCUAGGCGACGAUCCCUAGCUGGUCUGAGAGGAUGACCAGCCACACUGGAACUGAGACACGGUCCAGACUCCUACGGGAGGCAGCAGUGGGGAAUAUUGCACAAUGGGCGCAAGCCUGAUGCAGCCAUGCCGCGUGUAUGAAGAAGGCCUUCGGGUUGUAAAGUACUUUCAGCGGGGAGGAAGGUGUUGCGGUUAAUAACCGCAGCAAUUGACGUUACCCGCAGAAGAAGCACCGGCUAACUCCGUGCCAGCAGCCGCGGUAAUACGGAGGGUGCAAGCGUUAAUCGGAAUUACUGGGCGUAAAGCGCACGCAGGCGGUCUGUCAAGUC
rnacentral:rRNA from 1 species